GUUGAAGGUUGGGUAACACUAACUGGAGGACCGAACCGACUAAUGUUGAAAAAUUAGCGGAUGACCUGUGGCUGGGGGUGAAAGGCCAAUCAAACCGGGAGAUAGCUGGUUCUCCCCGAAAGCUAUUUAGGUAGCGCCUCGUGAAUUCAUCUCCGGGGGUAGAGCACUGUUUCGGCUAGGGGGCCAUCCCGGCUUACCAACCCGAUGCAAACUGCGAAUACCGGAGAAUGUUAUCACGGGAGACACACGGCGGGUGCUAACGUCCGUCGUGAAGAGGGAAACAACCCAGACCGCCAGCUAAGGUCCCAAAGUCAUGGUUAAGUGGGAAACGAUGUGGGAAGGCCCAGACAGCCAGGAUGUUGGCUUAGAAGCAGCCAUCAUUUAAAGAAAGCGUAAUAGCUCACUGGUCGAGUCGGCCUGCGCGGAAGAUGUAACGGGGCUAAACCAUGCACCGAAGCUGCGGCAGCGAACGUAUCACCCAAGACAACUUUACGGAGUUGACGAUUGACGGAGCGAAGCGACGUCAAAGCGUUCAUUAAAGUCGAGUUGGCUUAGGGAUACGUUCGUUGGGUAGGGGAGCGUUCUGUAAGCCUGUGAAGGUGUGUCGUGAGGCAUGCUGGAGGUAUCAGAAGUGCGAAUGCUGACAUAAGUAACGAUAAAGCGGGUGAAAAGCCCGCUCGCCGGAAGACCAAGGGUUCCUGUCCAACGUUAAUCGGGGCAGGGUGAGUCGACCCCUAAGGCGAGGCCGAAAGGCGUAGUCGAUGGGAAACGGGUUAAUAUUCCCGUACUUGGUGUUACUGCGAAGGGGGGACGGAGAAGGCUAUGUUGGCCGGGCGACGGUUGUCCCGGUUUAAGCGUGUAGGUGUGUGUUCCAGGUAAAUCCGGUUCACUUUAACACUGAGGCGUGACGACGAGGCACUACGGUGCUGAAGCAACAAAUGCCCUGCUUCCAGGAAAA
rnacentral:rRNA from 1 species